AUCGCUUCUCGGCCUUUUGGCUCAGAUCACGUGUAGUAUCUGUUCUUAUCAGUUUAAUAUCUGAUACGUCCCCCAUCGGGGGACUACAUAUUAAAUGGAUUUUUCGAA
rnacentral:snRNA from 8 species